rnacentral:rRNA from 1 species
AAUGAACGCUGGCGGCGCGCCUAAUACAUGCAAGUCGAGCGAGAAGACGUAGCAAUACGUUUGUAAAGCGGCGAACGGGUGAGGAAUACAUGGGUAACCUACCCUCGAGUGGGGAAUAACUAGCCGAAAGGUUAGCUAAUACCGCGUACGCUUCUUGGACUUCGGUUCAGGGAGGAAAGCGAUACCGUGGGUAUCGCGCUCUUGGAUGGGCUCAUGUCCUAUCAGCUUGUUGGGAGGUAACGGCUCACCAAGGCUUCGACGGGUAGCUGGUCUGAGAGGACGAUCAGCCACACUGGCACUGCGACACGGGCCAGACUCCUACGGGAGGCAGCAGUAAGGAAUAUUGCGCAAUGGGCGAAAGCCUGACGCAGCGACGCCGCGUGGGGGAUGAAGGUCUUCGGAUUGUAAACCCCUUUCGGGUAGGGAAGAUGGAAUGGGGUAACCCAGUUCGGACGGUACCUCCAGAAGCAGCCACGGCUAACUUCGUGCCAGCAGCCGCCGUAA